rnacentral:misc_RNA from 1 species
UGAAUGCAUUCUACAAGGUCAGGACAUGAUAGGACAACCCACUUGUUCAACAAAUAAACAUGUGCUGCAAGUUCAGGAUACUGAAAGACAACCUACUUCUUCAAUGCAUGAGCAAGUGCUGCAAGGUCACUGUAACAUAACAAAACCUACUUGUUCAAUAGGUUUCUCUGUGAACAGCAAUGUGUCAGACCAUUUAGCACAUGGUGGGGGANGUGAUGGAGGUGCUCAUUUUAACAAUGAGGCUCCUAAGGAAUCAUGUGAGAGUGUUGGGCG